UCCGUCGUCUUCUUCUCUCUCUCUUUCUCUCUCGUGCUGAAACCCUAGCUCCUAUCACUCUUCCUCUGCCGAUCGAAGAUCUAUUCCUCAUGGCCAUCGUCUUCUACUUUUUCGCUCCGUCUUCGACUUCUACAACCAAGGCACCAACCGUGUAGGUUAUUCAAAGCCUUGUAGAUCUUGAAGCACUUCAACCCACAGGAGACAUGUCAUCUGUUAGGAGAUUUGUGCAGUUUUUCUUGGAUAAUUCGUUAGGUCAGAAACCAGAUCAGCAACAGACUUUGGCCGCAAUUGGGGGAGGAUUUAUUUGCCAUAGUACAAGAUCAGCCUUGAAGGAGAAAUGAUCAAGUUGAAGCCUUAUAGUGGGAUGCUCAAUAUUGACUUCGGAAAAGUAAUUGGAAAGAGAGAUGUUUAUCUUUUGUAAGUUCUGUUGGCAACAAAAGCUUUCAAAGCAGUGAAUUUCAUGCACCUGAUGCAAGAGUUUCAUCCAUUAUGUCCACCAAAGUUCAAGUUUCUAGUCUCAGACCUUAGAUCUGGGUUUUUUUUGUUAUUUUACUAGUAAAAUGGC